rnacentral:rRNA from 1 species
AACGUGAGUCACUAGGGUUUACCGGAUUUACUGGGCGUAAAGGGUACCGUAGGCGGUCUAACAAGUCUGGCGUUAAAGCCUCCGAGCUCAACUUGGGGAAUGCGCUAGAUACUGCUAGACUAGAGAGCGGCAGAGGGAAUCGGAACUGCCGGUGUAGGGGUGAAAUCCGUUGAUAUCGGCAGGAACGCCGAAAGGGAAGCCAGAUUCCUGGGCCGUUUCUGACGCUGAGGGUCGAAACCGUGGGGAGCAAAAGGG